UCCCGAGGACGCAGCGGGAACUACUAUGUUGUCGCUUGUGAUCACAGCCGGCAGGCAGCAAGGAGGAGCAGGCAGGGCAGGGUGAAGUUACAGCAUAAAGGUAGCAGUGGAUAUAAUGCUUUUUGGUUUACAUGUUUCAAUAGCAUUAAAGGCACAGUCUGCAACAUUUAAAUGUAGAAUAACUUUAAAAAUGUUUGAUUUUGACCAUCUGACCCACUUUUAUUAAACAAAGUAAAUAAUCUUUAAUAUUUCAAUUUUCUCCUAAGUCCCUCCCCUGCCCUGUAGAGCUCAGCCAAUAUUUCUGCAAGCCUAACGCGUUGACCAAUAGCGCUGCGUUACCACCAGGGGGCAGCUGUCAAUCAUUGAGCACGAGCAGCAGGUCUCAGCGUGCACAACAGUGUCACGCGCCUCACUCGGCUUACUGCAGAAACAUGGAGCAACAAAACCCCAAAUUACCGAUUCCUCGACUGCCUUCCACAUCUCAAAAAACAUUUAAAAAGUUUAAAAGCCCUUCUUCAAAAGUGGCUGUAAGACGUUUAAGACAGUCGAGUAGAAUUUACAUUGGAGAUUGUUUUAAACGAUGGAGAUUUUCGUGAUCUACACGGCCUGAAAACGGAUGAAGAGUUGGCAAAGUAUCUUUUGGACAGGUAAGUUAUUUAUUGUUUUUCGGAUAAAUUUACUUAUAAUCUUUCUUUCACUGAAAGAAGUAAUAGAGCAAACAAGCUUUGUAUGCUUGGUGUCCUAUUGGCUAAUGUAGCAUUAGCUUGAAUGCUAAGUCGACAUGAAUCGAUGCUAGUCGAACUAUUUAUGCUAUAUUUGGAAGAAGUUUGAGUAACGAAAGGGGAUUUUAGUUUUUUGUUUAAAUGGGAGCUAAUGAUUAGUGUGGCGUUUAACUAUAGGCCACAUCAGUAUAUUGUUUUAAGCUCUUAUUUAUAACUUCCCCGUUAGCGGGGUUCAGUUAGCAUCUUGAACGCUGAAUUAGAUGUUCACACUUUCCUGAGCUGCGUGUUUGAUUAAAAUGAGUAAUCAGCAGCUCAUGUAGCACUUGUAGAAGUCUGAGGAGAUGAUUCAGCAGUUAGAAUUAGGUGUGAUUGAUCAGGAACAUAUCCAAAACCUUACCUUUCCAUUAGCACUGAAAGACAUAUUGUGCUAACCUGGGUGGGCCACGUGUACAGAUAACCGUCUGAGUUUGUGGUCUUACCUACGUGAAAACUCCAUAUUAAAAUAAAAGGAAUGAUAAUCAGCUCGUGCAGAAAUCUGUGAAGGCUGGGGAGACUUGCUUAGCUUGUGAUCACUAAUUUUUGGGCUUUGUUUUUUACAGUCAUCAGUCCAAAUAUGAAGCAUCAACAUCUACACCAUUGAAACACCAACUGUGUAUUUCUCCAACACCAGUGCCAGCUCUGUCUAGCAUUCAUGGAGAAUCAUCUGAAAGGUAAAUAGCUGCGUAAAAACCUCUACCAGGAAUAUUAUAAUUUUGCCUCUGUUUGUUUUAAGUUAGUGGUGGAUUAUUUUGAAAAAAUUCUAGAAAUGGGAUAAUGAAUGACUAUAAAAAAUGUAUAGAAAUAAAUAGUAAAACUACAUUUCAUAUAGCGCCUCUCAAGAUAAAACUCUUGAGGCACUUCACAACAACAAAAUUAAACAUAUUUAAAAAAAAUUAUAUUUUUAUUUCAAAGUUUAUGAGAAAAAAAUAACACAAUUGUGUUUUUAAAAUGUAAAGAGAGAGACAGGAAAUUAUUUGUAAAGAAGGAAUUCAGUGGAUACAGAGAAAUGCGUGAUAAGUAGAGUGAGAAAAAUAAGGAGAGGGUGAUGAUGACGGCCAAUAGACGAGCUCUAUUACCUUCAAAAUGACAAAAUAUGUAUUGAUUCUAAUAAUAUUCUUGUGCUUGUAUUUUAUUUUCAUAGGGAUGAUAAUUUGGAGGAGGGGAUGGAACAAGGUGAAACUAAAAAAGAAGGAUCUUCACAAAUGAUAGAGUCAUCAGAUGACACAUGGUCACCAAACAGAGAACCAGAAGUUGAUUUGUCUUCAGAGGAGGACAAAACCAUCGAGAUGGACAGCGGUACUGAUGACAACGGUGAUGAGGACUACACACCUUAUACACACAUAAGGUAAUUCUUUUCGUUUAACAUUCUAUAAAACUGCAAUAGCGCAUAGAUAAUACAGGACCGGAGCAGCAUUACAAAAAACAUUACAACUUGAGACUCUGCAAGAAAUUAACAUAGAGGAUACAGUUCAUGACCAGAUCCACUUUAUUUAAAUCGUUUUAUUGAUUAUCGUCUUAUGAAAGAUAACUUUGACGUACAUGAGCGACCGGUACUGGCUGCUGUCACCUGUUGUGAGCAGCUCUCUGCUGUCUGAGGGUAGGCCCCGCCCACAACGCCGCGGCUGCUGUGGCUCCCAGGGUUUUCUUUACUGUGGGAAAUGGCUAAUAAUGGCUCUUUGAUGGGAACAGGUUGCCGACCCCUGGUUUAAGUGUUUCAAUUUUUUUUUAUGAUUUCGAUUAAAAAUAAAGGAGCCCGGCCCGGCCCGUGUCCGAGGUAAUUACACAGUCAUUGGCCUGAAGCCCGGCCCGAGGGCCAUCGGGCUGGGCCGACCCGAGGGCCUAGGGCUUCAGUGCAGGGAUCUACUACAAGUUAUGGCAUGUGUCAUUUCAGAUACCAUAAAAUAUUCAACAAAAAAUCAAGAUGCUAGAGGCUGUAUUCUGAGAAGGUGGCAAAAGACUACUCCUACAUCCCACAGAUCCAAACCAUGAUCGUCAACCAACGUUUGACAAGCAAGAAAGGUCUUCCUCGACGCUACAAGCUAAGGCCUGAGGAUCCAAGGCGUUACGGUUUGCUGUCCGGAGUCCCUGCACCACCAACAGAGGAACUUCUACAACCCCUACGGACUCGCGGUGAUGGUAAAAUAAAACAUUAUCUGCCUUACAUCUUCCACACAAUAGUCCAUUGCUAAUUGAGUUUAUUUUUUAUUUACAGGUAAAACUUUGCCACAGACAUAGGUGUUGGGGGAGGCAAGAGAAAACCCAAAACCUUCUUUAUUUUUGUUUCCAGUGUUUAUUUUAUUUUAUUUUUUUAAAUAAAGAUGUAUUUUGGGGAAAUAAGGACUAAUAAUUUAAAAAUGUAUGUAAAAUGCUGGAGGUAGACAUAAGUUUUUGUUGUUGUGCAGGAGUUUUAAAAUGUAUGGUAUUUUUACAAAUGCAACACAGAGUUAUGCUUUAGAACACUUUAUAAGAGCAUCAAACACAAAUAUAUAAAAAACAAACUGAUGUAAAAUAUUAAAUAUAUACAUUUAUUUACAAUCAUCUUGGAAAAAAACCAGUGUAAUUACCAUUGGGGUCAGGGAGUUUUUCCCUUAUCCUCCAGAAGCUACAAACUGUCUGUAAGCGGCAUGGCGGAACUGUCUGUCGUCCUCACCAGGGUCCGGGUCAUCAUAAACCGCUCGAAACUCAUUCCACAAUGUUCUGGCCAGGCGAAGAACACCAUUUUGCAGAAUAAACUCCUCCAUGUGUGGUACAGUUGAAAUACAUAUCUGGGGAGGCUGUUGGCAGCAUUUCUUUUCCAAAUCAGUUGGCAUAUCUCUGCAGUGGGAGCAUACACACCAUGAAGGUUUAUUGGGUGUUGGAGGUGUUGUGGCAGGUGGACCAGAGAGGGCAAGUACAUCAAAGAGAACACCAGGGUCUCUGUCCAGCACCAUGGUAAGGAUGUCAAUAGCCUGCUGAGGGUUCAAGUUCUGUAUGUGUUGCUACAAAAGUGGAAAGAGAUGCUACAGCAACAGUUUUUAGGAUAAUUUAGUGUAAUUUUGUUAUGCUUACACGUUCAAAGUCUAUUCGCUCGGAACAAAGAAUCCGAACUCGAGAGAGAUCUUCAUCUCCAAGGUCCACGGCUGAGUGUCUCGCACUUCUUCGGCCUCUAGACGCACCACGGCCUCUGGAUGCACCACGGCUUUGAGAUGAUGGUGGGCAUCUCCUUUUUGCACCACGUCUUGAGGAUGCAAUGGGAGGUUCAAACUCUUCCUCAGAGGAUUCCUCAAUCACUGAACUCUAAAUUGUAUUAGAAUAAAAAAAUUAUACUAAUAUCAAAAGUACUCUUGCAUAUUAAUCAAUUUUGACACAGAUCAGGUUUACAUCUAGUCAAAAUUAGGGCUAAACCAACAAUAAACAAACUAUGAAAACAACCAUGAUUAUAGGAGGACUAUACAGAAUGCAGUGUUUAUUCAUGAUUUCUACAUAAAUUAUUUAUAUGCUUUGAUAUAUUCAUCCCAUCUUGAAUGGCAAAGCAAUUAAAAAUAAGCUAAUUACUCAUAAUAAAUGCUAAAAAUGUGAUAGGAUUACUUUUAUUUACAAUAUACAUUGUCAACUUUUACUGGUAUUUUAAAAUAUAAAUAUAUUUAUAGAUAUUCUUUAUAAAAUGCCUUUUGUAAACAGUAAGUGUUUAAGGUGCUGGUUAAAAACAACUUUCUUACCUCAGAUAACUCCAUUGCUAACACUAGCUCAGCUCUAUUAUGAAGAAGCAAUGCUGCUCUGGUGUUGACUCUGCUUUUCCAGCGCGUGCACAUUGGGAGGUGUGGCUUUCGGCUCUUUCAGGAAGGGCGGGGGAGUGAGCAACAGCCGUUCGAAUUUAAAAAUCUCCUCCUCCUCACCCUGACGGCGUCAUUUUACGGAUUGUGGCUUUAAGAUAAACGAGCGUUGACGAUCUUGACAGGGUUUCCUCUCCCCACCAGGAUAAGCAUCACUUAUUCAUGUAAAAUUUAUUUUAUUUUUUCAUGUCUGACUUUAACCGCAUCUAAUACUGUAUUACGGCGUGAGCGCAACAGCGACAACUUAAGAUCGAUGUGUGAGCAGCCUGAGAGGUCGGGUGUUUCAUCUGAACCCUUAAAACCUCCAGCAGGCUACGCUGCACUAUUGACGUGUUAGCGCGCGGCGCUAACAACUUAGCGACGUGACAUAUCUCGGAGAAAGCGUAAAAACACGUUGGACGCUUCUUCUGAAGCGGGAAAAUAACACCUCUUCAAGCAGGGCACGA